ACCUUAUAUAGAUGUAGUAACGCAAGACAGUUGCGCAUUUCCCUGUAAGGUGGUGUUUCAAUAGAAGUAUAAACAACAAGUCUCAUUGUGUGGCUACGAGUCGAAAUGAGAUGAGUUUAUAUGAAAUAGGUUAACCGUAAGACCUUGAGUUGAAAAACUCUGAAAUUGAACUAGGGAUUAAAUUUCUGAAAUUUCGUAUUCUCUAGUUACGGUGGU
rnacentral:sRNA from 12 species